rnacentral:rRNA from 1 species
GUCUCUUUGAUUAUACUUAUAUAAAGAGUUUGACCUGCCCAGUGAUACAAUUUAACGGCCGCAGUACUCUGACUGUGCAAAGGUAGCAUAAUAAUUUGCCUUAUAAUUGAUGGCUAGUAUGAACGGUUUGACGAAAGCAUUUCUGUCUCAAAUAUAUUUUUUAUAAUUUAUCUUUUAGGUUAAAAGACCUAAAUAAAACAAAAGGACGAGAAGACCCUAUCGAGCUUUAAAAAAAUUUGAUAAAAGAAAUAUUAUUAAGAUUUCUUUUUAUUAAAAGUUUUUUUUGGUUGGGGCGACCUAGGAACAAAUAAAACUUCCUUAAAUAAUAAAAUACUGCAAAUGAUCCAACAUAAUGUUGAUAAGUGGAAUUAGUUACCGUAGGGAUAACAGCGUUAUUUUUUUCAAGAGAUCUUAUCAAGGAAAAAGUUUGCGACCUCGAUGUUGGAUUGAGAUAACUUAAAGGUGCAGGAGCUUUUAUAAGUUAGUCUGUUCGACUAUAAAAAUCUCACAU